CCCGCUCAAAUAACUAGUACCCAAAUCAUGCGAAAGUAAGGAAGUGUCCUUCACUACUAACUCCCGAUGUUACGUUGUCGGCCGCUAACGUAACCUUCCGCGAAGUUAGAAGCUAUACACUCCAAUCAAACUCUAACUUUUUAGAUUUAUAUAAAUACCCAAUCACAAUACUUUCGCUCACAAAUUAAAUAGACCUCGUCUCUCACUAGCCUAUUUCCUAUUGUCCAACCGGCCUAAGAUUUGCUAGGUCCACUAAGACUCAACCUUAGGCUCUGAUACCAAAUUAAUCUGUCACGCCCCGAGACCCGGCCUAGGCCCGCCCGGUACGUGCCCAGACCCGCCAUAUGCCUACACAUAUAAGGCGUCUACAACAAUAGCGAAUAAAUGAACAAUAAAUAGAGUGUAUCUAGAGAUAUCAAAGUAAGUAUAUAGCUAGGUUCUAACAAUAGGUAGAAACAAGGGAAACUAAACCAGUAAAGAAAAACGUAAAAUAAUACAUUAUAAGUCUCAAGCUACAUAUAGGGGGUGGUUUCUACAAAAAUGGUAGAAGUCUCUCAACCUCUCCAAACAAAACUCAGAAGAGAGGUAGACUACCUAUCGUCGAAUUCCUCGCUAGCUAACUCGAGGCGAUUCCUUUCCUGCGAUCCUGAGCCUCUCCCGGGGUGGAAGGCUCUGAAAGAAAACAUAAAACAGGGGGGCGUGAGAACUAUAAUUUAUAGUUCCCAGUGGGCAAUUACUGACCAUAGCCAAAUGCACCACUAGGCCCAAAACAUGAGCAGAUAAGAGAGUAACGAAAAGUAACUGCGGAAAGUAAAAGCAUAUAAUGAAAUGCUAUUCUAUUAUGCCACAAGUAUACAUGAUGUCAACAUGGUGUACAUCUACUCUAUCCUGAUCCAAUAUGCCAAUACAUACAUACUAUGUUCUAUCAUGGCUACCAAGUAUGCUAUGAUGCAACAAGUAAUACUAUCACGUAUACUACAUGUCCAA
rnacentral:lncRNA from 1 species